AUGUGCCUUGGUCUCCUGUGCUGUGUGGCCCUUUUCAUCUGGGGAGCAGGCUCCAUGGACGCUGAAGUCACUCAGAGUCCAAGUCAUCUGGUCAAAGGAAAAGGCCAGAAAGCAAAGAUGGAUUGUGUCCCCAUAAAAGGACAUAUUAAUGUUUAUUGGUACCGCAGGAAGCUGGAAGAAGCAUUAGAGUUCUUGGUUUACUUACAGAAGCAAGACAUUGUGGAAGACACAGAAGUGUUCAAAGAGCAAUUUUCAGCUCAGUGCCCCCAAAACUCGCCCUGCAGCCUGGAAAUCAAGUCCACCAAGGCAGCGGACUCAGCUCUGUAUUUCUGUGCCAGCAGCCAGUCCACAGUGCUGCACGUCAGCUCUUCUUAG